GAUGAACGCUAGCUACAGGCUUAACACAUGCAAGUCGAGGGACCGGCACACGGGAGAGUAACACGUAUCCAACCUGCCCUUUACUCGGGGAUAGCCUUUCGACAGGAAGAUAUAUACCCGAUAUAAAGGAUGGGGAUGGGUUCGAUUAGGUUGUUGGUGAGGUAACGGCUCACCAAGCCUUGGAUGGAUAGGGGUUUGGAGAGGAAGGACCCCCACAGUGGCACUGAGACACGGGACAAAUGCGUACGGGAGGAAGAGGGGAGGAAUAUUGGUCAAGGGGAGUGAGCCCGAACCAGCGAAGUAUCGUGAAGGAUGAAGGCUUAUGUGUCGUAAACUUCUUUUAUAUAAGAAUAUGUAGUAUAUGAAUAAGGAUAGGCUAACUCAGUGCCAGCACCCGCGGUAAUAC
rnacentral:rRNA from 1 species